rnacentral:rRNA from 1 species
UACGUAGGGCGCAAGCGUUGUCCGGAAUUAUUGGGCGUAAAGAGCUCGUAGGCGGUCUGUCACGUCUGCCGUGAAAACCCGAGGCUUAACCUCGUGGCUUGCGGUGGAUACGGGCAGACUAGAGGUAGGUAGGGGAGAACGGAAUUCCCGGUGUAGCGGUGAAAUGCGCAGAUAUCAGGAGGAACACCGGUGGCGAAGGCGGCGUCCUGGACCAACACUGACACUGAGGAGCGAAAGCCAGGGGAGCAAACGGG